UACGUAGGUCCCGAGCGUUGUCCGGAUUUAUCGGGCGUAAAGCGAGCGCAGGUGGUUUAUUAAGUCUGGUGUAAAAGGCAGUGGCUCAACCAUUGUAUGCAUUGGAAACUGGUAGACUUGAGUGCAGGAGAGGAGAGUGGAAUUCCAUGUGUAGCGGUGAAAUGCGUAGAUAUAUGGAGGAACACCGGUGGCGAAAGCGGCUCUCUGGCCUGUAACUGACACUGAGGCUCGAAAGCGUGGGGAGCAAACAGG
rnacentral:rRNA from 1 species